rnacentral:rRNA from 1 species
UCAGAUUGAACGCUGGCGGCAGGCUUAACACAUGCAAGUCGAGCGGUAACAGGUCCUUCGGGAUGCUGACGAGCGGCGGACGGGUGAGUAAUGCUUAGGAAUCUGCCUGGUAGUGGGGGAUAGCCCGGGGAAACCCGGAUUAAUACCGCGUACGCCCUUCGGGGGAAAGCAGGGGAUCUUCGGACCUUGCGCUAUCAGAUGAGCCUAAGCCGGAUUAGCUAGUUGGUAGGGUAAAGGCCUACCAAGGCGACGAUCCGUAGCUGGUCUGAGAGGAUGAUCAGCCACAUCGGGACUGAGACACGGCCCGAACUCCUACGGGAGGCAGCAGUGGGGAAUAUUGGACAAUGGGGGCAACCCUGAUCCAGCCAUGCCGCGUGUGUGAAGAAGGCUUUCGGGUUGUAAAGCACUUUCAGUGAGGAGGAAGGCCUUAAGGUUAAUACCCUUGAGGAUUGACGUUACUCACAGAAGAAGCACCGGCUAACUCCGUGCCAGCAGCCGCGGUAAUACGGAGGGUGCAAGCGUUAAUCGGAAUUACUGGGCGUAAAGCGCGCGUAGGUGGUUUGAUAAGCGAGAUGUGAAAG